rnacentral:rRNA from 1 species
UGGUCAAUAGCCUAACGGCUGAACCAGCAACUUGGAGGAAUGUAUAGCGAAAGCUAGCUGCAUUUAACUUAGCUACAGUGUAGUGUAGUAUUGACUAUGUCGAAUAAAGUUCUAGGUGGGUUAUGAUGAUGACAUUUCCUAUCUAUGUGUCUUGACCAAAUUACGUGCCAGCNGUCGCGGUAACACGUAAAAGACUAGUGUUAUUCAUCUUUAAUAGGUUUAAAGGGUACCUAGACGGUAAAUCAAGUCCGAGAAGGAUACUAAUUUGACUAGAGUUUAAUGUGAGGGGGCACUAAAGUACUGAUAAGUGUAGAGAUGAAAUUCUGUGAUACAAUAUACGGCACUGGUAAAGGCGAAAGCAUCUCAUUAUGUAAUAACUGACGUUGAGGGACGAAGGCUAUGUGAAGCAAAAAGGAUUAGAUACCCAAGUAGUCUUAGCAGAAAAUUAUGAAUGUCAUAGGAUGGAAAGUUGGACGAACAAACAACAAAUUUUUUUUUCUAUAAAUGAAAGUGUAAGCAUUCCACCUCGAGAGUAAUUUGGCAACAUUGGAACUGAAAUCAUUAGACCGUUUCUGAAACAAGUAGUGAAGUAUGUUGUUUAAUUUGAUGGUCCGCAAAAAACCUUACCACAAUUUGAAUAGAAAAAUUUUUUUUUCAUACAAGCGCUGCACGGUUGUCUUCAGUUAAUGUCGUGAGAUCUUGGUUAGUUCCAUUAAAUUAACGUAAACCCUUACUUUAUUUUUACAUAGAGUUGUUCACCGAUAGAUUGGAUAUGAUAACAGGGACUAAGACAAGUCAUCAUGGCC